rnacentral:rRNA from 1 species
UACGGAGGAUGCGAGCGUUAUCCGGAUUUAUUGGGUUUAAAGGGUGCGUAGGCGGAGUGCCAAGUCAGCGGUAAAAAUUCGGGGCUCAACCCCGUCGUGCCGUUGAAACUGGCGCCCUUGAGUGGGCGAGAAGUAUGCGGAAUGCGUGGUGUAGCGGUGAAAUGCAUAGAUAUCACGCAGAACCCCGAUUGCGAAGGCAGCAUACCGGCGCCCGACUGACGCUGAAGCGCGAAAGCGUGGGUAUCGAACAGG